CGAGUCCCCGCCCCGGUGCGGCUGCGGGCAGGGCGGGGCGUCGGCAUGGCGGCCACAGAAAGUUAGUUUCUCCCUGCACGGGAAAGGUUGUCCUGGCAUGCUGGAAAACGGCAGGAGCAUGCAAAAUUAUAUAGAGAAACUGGAAAAGCAGUGUGCACAGAGUAGACCCUGCCAUGACAGUGCUCUCUGGUGUGGGCGGGAAAUGGCAGGCUGGGGAGCAGCUCCAUGGAAAUGAGUCAAAGCAUCACCGUGUGCCCAAAUUCACUCAGGUGAGAUGAGGAGGCUGCAGUGCUGUCAGCAGCUGCACAUGGCUUCACUUCAUCAGUUUUAGGAAUGGGCUAAUCACUGCAGCCUGAUUCUGCUGGUUCUUCUGCACAGCAGAAGAUGCAAAAGGCCUGAUGCUGUCCUGUUGAAGCUGAUGGGAGUUUUGCUGUUCAGGAACUCAUGUGCUACCCUCAAUGCCCAGUCAGGAUGAGGGGAAAGGUACUCCUGGGAGCUGGUGAUGGUCCCAACCAAGAUGUCAGUGAUAGACACCAUCAGACAAGUUUCGCUGAAAACACUUCUCAAGAAUCAAAUGGAGUUUUUAAAGGGAAAAGACCUACUGGUGAGAAUUGCACGUGAGAGUUCAUGAGCCACUCAGCUGUAUCCUCUGUGGGGAAAAUCUGCUUUAUUGUUUUGUAGCAUUAAAGUGUGACACCUGGGAAGGCUCUUCAGCUCCUGACAUGGUGUGCACAUCUCGCUGAGGGUGCCCCUGGGGACAGCACUCACAUGUGUGCUGGUCACUGCUUUGUGACUCACUGGUUCCCACUGGAGGGAAGGAGACCUGGACACGCAGUCAGAGAGCUGACCGGUGAGCCUGAGGGCCAUGUGUUGCUUUCCUGAGCCCCACUAACCGCAGCAAAUGGAGGAAAACCCACAAGACAGCUCUUGAAGAUGUUAGGAUUCCCAGCCUCACAGCUUUUAGUUGCAAGAUGAUUCAACAUAGUUCUUAUUCCCUACCUGGCAGCAAGAAAUCAUGGGAUGACAUUGUUUUAGAAACAUCAAAGGUCUUGAUGAAAACUACAUUUUUUCCGUAUUUUUCCUGGAGCAGUGAAACCCCUGGGGAAGUGAAACAAGCUGUGUAGAAAGGAAAUAAAAUAGAGCACAUGAUAAUUGGUGUAUUAUGAGCUAAUACAACACAGAGAUCUAUAUUGCUCUCUGCGCAGAUGUCCCCAAACCUACCAUAUCAGGUAAAGUAGCAGAUGAUAAUUUUAAUACACUGGAUCAAAGAAAUCAGCAAUAAUCACACUAAACUGCAAACACUGGAUUAUGUUAAGCAGGUGGAUCCCUACUUGUGUUUCAGUUUGUAAGCAAUGCAGAGCAUGUGCAUGGAAUUGUAACAAGAGAAACAAAAUUUCCCUACUCCAGAUGCAUGAUAACAAAGAAGAUCAUUGUUUUGAGUGACAGAAAAGGGAGUCACAACCGUCUCUGUCUCCUUUUGAUGGUGUGCAGACCUCUGUCUUUUAUUACUGGUGAAUGGGGAGCAGGAGUGUGUAUCUGGCACAAGGCAAGGUGGAGAGGGACUGCAGCUCCCAGCUGUGCUCCGGUGAAAUCACAUUAAGCACAGGAAAGCCCUUUCCUACCUGAACUGCUGUAGAGACUUUGCUUCUCUGGGACUGACUCUUCAGAUAGGCCACAGUGGUCCAGCCAUGGGCUCUCCCUGCAAGAUAAACCAUGCCACUGGGCCACAGGCUCCCCUUCCUGAGAAAGGCACUGGGACACUCAUCCCAUCACAAUUUUCCUGUGGCUGGGGACAUGUAGAGCUGGGAAGUGUCUGGCAGAGGCCACAAGGCUUCCCAGGUUGUGCUGGCCACCUGGCUGGCCUGAGAGUGGGGCAGCCCUAAAAGCCAGAGGCCAUGACCUCCUUCCUGUGGUCACCUCACAGCCCAGAGGCUUGGGUGUAUCAGACCAAAAUGGUCACUUAGAUUCAUGCAGCUAGCAGACCUCGUUUUGGUGAUUUCACACUCUUUCUCAUGGUGGGUCUCCUUUUCUGGCUUCUGGUACUCAGCAUGUUGCAGGACCACUGCCUCCUCGAGUCACACUUCACAUUCGAUGGGCACCCUUGGCAUCUGCAAGUGAUUCCUGGUAGGUUUGGGAUGUUUCCUCAUCUCUUGGUUCCCAGGUUUCCAGAAGGCAUUUUAUCAAUAAACGGUGAUGCCCCAGAACCUUCUUUCACUUCUCUGUGGAUGGGGUGACAUCUCCAGUCUCUUUUCUAGCAUUGCCAUGUACUGAAGGAGCUGAGUGCUGCCCACAUCUGGAUGGUUGAUCUGCUGCCAGGCAGGAAGGGAAGCUCCUGCAGAAGCUGACUUUCACUUGGGAGCAUUGAGCCAUGAAGGAGACUUUUCCACCAACAGCUAAUGCUCUGACUUCACUCAUUCAUUCAUUCAUUCAUUCAUUCAUUCAUUCAUUCAUUCAUUUUCAUUCAUGUCAGCCAACCGCCUCAUUAACAAAUUAAGGUGAGCAGGGCAACUCAUUUUGGAGGAGGAAAACUGAUGGAGUGAGAUCAUUGCAGAGCUGCUUGUCCUACUCCCUUACAGAGGGAGCUUUCCAAUGACCCUGGGAGAAGACUGUGUUAGGAAGCCAGCCAGCUUAUUGUGUAGGAGUCGUGCUCUUUGAACAUGUAUAUGAACAGGACUGGCUGAUGACAUCCCACUGCUGCCCAUGAUUGACAGCAUAGGCAGGUAUAUAAAAGUUUAAGGUUUUGUGUAUAUAUAUAUAAAUGUAAUAAAGGCAUCUAGUUUGUGGGUGCCAGUGCUUUGGAAGUCAUCACUAUAGUAUCCUGCAAUAGCACAUAUUUAAGUACUAUUGCUAAAGGAAAUGAUCCACAUAUAUUUGCAUCCAGCCUCAUAUGCCACCUUUGCACCUGGUUGUAGCUCAGCUGCAGCAGCGCCUCUCAACAAGCUCUCAAUGAGAUAAUUAACUGGAGACGUCAGAUGCUUGUGCUUCAUUACUGCUGGAACUGCCUGCAGGUUCCCUCCAAAGCCUUUCCACCUAGUGGCCUUUGCUGCCAGCUUGCUUUUCUCCCUAAGUGCUGAUUGUUGACUCUUCUCUAAAGCAGCACUAAUAAGCUAAUAAAUAUGAUUAUACGAAA